CCUACGGGAGGCAGCAGUGGGGAAUAUUGGGCAAUGGACGACAGCCUGACCCAGCAACGCCGCGUGAAGGAAGAAGGCUUUCGGGUUGUAAACUUCUUUUGACAGGGAAGAGCAGAAGACGGUACCUGUCGAAUAAGCCACGGCUAACUACGUGCCAGCAGCCGCGGUAAUACGUAGGUGGCAAGCGUUGUCCGGAUUUACUGGUGGUAAAGGGCGUGUAGCCGGGCUGACAAGUCAGAUGUGAAAUCCGGGGGCUCAACCCCCGAACUGCAUUUGAAACUGUUGGUCUUGAGUAUCGGAGAGGCAGGCGGAAUUCCUAGUGUAGCGGUGAAAUGCGUAGAUAUUAGGAGGAACACCAGUGGCGAAGGCGGCCUGCUGGACGACAACUGACGGUGAGGCGCGAAAGCGUGGGGAGCAAACAGGAUUAGAUACCCCAGUAGUC
rnacentral:rRNA from 1 species